rnacentral:rRNA from 1 species
CGUGUAGGCGGGUUUGUUAGUCAGAGGUGAAAUCCUACAGCUUAACUGUAGAACUGCCUUUGAUACUACAAAUCUUGAGUUUGGAAGAGAGAGACGGAAUUCCAGGUGUAGUGGUGAAAUACGUAGAUAUCUGGAAGAACACCAGUUGCGAAGGCGGUCUCUUAGUCCGAUACUGACGCUAAGGCGCGAAAGCAUGGGGAGCAAACA